AUGAAGAUCAUGGGUUGGAACUGCCGCGGGCUGAAUUCAGGUCGGGCAGUUCGUGCGCUCCUUGAUGUUCAGAAGAAAUCAAAACCAGAUGUGUGUUUCCUGUCUGAGACACAUCUGUCGAAAGCUAAGGCAGAGAAACUUUUGAAGAGAACAUGAUUUGACCAUCUUUUGGUGGAUGAGAGUGAUGGCCGGAGUGGUGGAUUGCUAAUGAUGUGGGGUAGACAUAUAAGCAUGGUGGAACUAAGUGUGACAAAUAAUCACAUUGAUGUGAUGGUAGAAGGUGACGAAAAGUGGAGGUUGACAGGGAUUUAUGGUGAACCGAACUGA
rnacentral:rRNA from 1 species